rnacentral:tRNA from 1 species
CAGGGCGUGGGCCAGCCAGGAAUGGCCGCCAGUCUGGGGGACUGGAGAACGCAGGUUCAAAUCCUGCCGCCUUGA